UACGAAGGGGGCUAGCGUUGCUCGGAAUCACUGGGCGUAAAGCGCACGUAGGCGGACUCUUAAGUCGGUGGUGAAAUCCUGGAGCUCAACUCCAGAACUGCCUUCGAUACUGAGAGUCUCGAGUCCGAGAGAGGUGAGUGGAACUGCGAGUGUAGAGGUGAAAUUCGUAGAUAUUCGCAAGAACACCAGUGGCGAAGGCGGCUCACUGGCUCGGUACUGACGCUUAGGUGCGAAAGCGUGGGGAGCAAACAGG
rnacentral:rRNA from 1 species